rnacentral:rRNA from 1 species
UACGUAGGGGGCAAGCGUUGUCCGGAAUUAUUGGGCGUAAAGCGCGCGCAGGUGGUGAAUUAAGUUGUGGGUAAAAGGCAAUGGCUCAACCAUUGUAAGCCUGCAAAACUGGUUCACUUGAGUGCAGGAGAGGUGAGUGGAAUUCCCGGUUUAGCGGUGGAAUGCGUAGAGAUCGGGAGGAACACCAGUGGCGAAGGCGACUCUCUGGCCUGUAACUGACACUGAGGCGCGAAAGCGUGGGGAGCGAACAGG